rnacentral:rRNA from 1 species
ACUCCUACGGGAGGCAGCAGUGGGGAAUAUUGCACAAUGGGGGAAACCCUGAUGCAGCCAUGCCGCGUGUGUGAAGAAGGCCUUCGGGUUGUAAAGCACUUUCAGUUAGGAGGAAAGGUUGAGUGUAGUUAACACCUGCCAUAUUUGACGUAUACCAUACGAAGAAGAAGCACCGGCUAACUCCGUGCCAGCAGCCGCGGUAAUACGGAGGGUGCGAGCGUUAAUCGGAAUUACUGGGCGUAAAGCGCAUGCAGGCGGCC